CCUACGGUAGGCAGCAGUGGGGAAUAUUGGGCAAUGGAGGAAACUCUGACCCAGCGACGCCGCGUGCGGGAUGAAGGCCUUCGGGUUGUAAACCGCUUUCAGUAGGGAAGAAGCGAAAGUGACGGUACCUACAGAAGAAGCACCGGCUAACUAUGUGCCAGCAGCCGCGGUAAUACAUAGGGUGCAAGCGUUGUCCGGAAUUAUUGGGCGUAAAGAGCUCGUAGGUGGUUCGUCACGUCGGAUGUGAAAAUCUGGGGCUCAACCCCAGACCUGCAUUCGAUACGGGCGAUCUAGAGUGUGGUAGGGGAGACUGGAAUUCCUGGUGUAGCGGUGGAAUGCGCAGAUAUCAGGAGGAACACCAAUGGCGAAGGCAGGUCUCUGGGCCAUUACUGACACUGAGGAGCGAAAGCGUUGGGGAGCGAACAGGAUUAGAUACCCUGGUAGUCCACGCCGUAAACGGUGGGCACUAGUUGUGGGAACCUUCCACGGUUUCUGCGACGCAGCUUAACGCAUUAAGUGCCCCGCCUAAGGGAGUACGNUCGNAAGAUUAAACNCAAAUGAGUAGAGCGNGAGAGNGCGACGACGACGACGAGGGAGGUAGG
rnacentral:rRNA from 1 species